rnacentral:rRNA from 1 species
GACGAACGCUGGCGGCGUGCUUAACACAUGCAAGUCGAACGGAAAGGCCCUGCUUUUGUGGGGUGCUCGAGUGGCGAACGUGUGAGUAACACGUGAGUAACCUUCCCUUUACUUUGGGAUAACUUCAGGAAACUGGGGCUAAUACCGGAUAGGAGCUCCUGCUGCAUGGUGGGGUUUGGACAGUUUCGGCGGUUGGGGAUGGACUCGCGGCUUAUCAGCUUGUUGGUGGGGUAGUGGCCUACCAAGGCUUUGACGGGUAGCCGGCCUGAGAGGGUGACCGGCCACAUUGGGACUGAGAUACGGCCCAGACUCCUACGGGAGGCAGCAGUGGGGAAUAUUGCACAAUGGGCGGAAGCCUGAUGCAGCAACGCCGCGUGCGGGAUGACGGCCUUCGGGUUGUAAACCGCUUUCGCCUGUGACGAAGCGUGAGUGACGGUAAUGGGUAAAGAAGCACCGGCUAACUACGUG